rnacentral:lncRNA from 1 species
AUUCGAUACAAAUAGAAUUGUCCAAGCAAUUAAUAAAGCAGCAAUAUAGAUGUCAAAAUUGCCCGUUGGCCCAAUGCAAGGCGUGCCUGUGAGUGAGAGGCGCUUGAACUACCAAUUGGUAAUGACACCUAAGACAGUUCACAAGAAACCUGAGCCACUGAUAAAAUAUUCCCAGCAAACAUAUUGAAGCCAUUAAAAAGUAUGACUUAAAAGAACAAAAUUUCUGAUCAGAGGCUUUUGAUCUCAACUAGAACAUUAAAUCACAAAAGGGCAGUUUUCAUAACCUGCUACGAAGCUACCGCAGUCGAGUUAAUUCGUUUAACACUAUUAGGAAUGCAAGAAAGUUGGAUGAGACAAACUGUAAUAACCUUUUAACAUUAUAAGUUGUAAAUUUGAAACUCCAAAGCUUACACGAAUGCGUUAAAACUAAGUCAUUAAGACUACAGUGACUACGGGCUGCAAAAAUGCACCAAGGAAAAACUCUCUUAACAUGUCAUUAGACCUCUUUGCCCCCAUUUUUCUACACUGUUAAUCGUAGAAGAAUUGAUUGCAAAUUUCUUUGGAAAAAUCCUUCCCAGCUUCAAGGUGCCUCAUGCUUUGAAUCUGCAUCAACAGGAGGAUAUCAGGAUUUGGAGAAGAUAAUCAGACAAGAUAUAUGGUCCUCCCUUAUAGAGACUGAAGAGAAGCAUAAGAUGUAAAAGAUCAACCUCUCCACCAACAACAUGCAUGAAUGCAAGGGAAGUAGGCGUUAACGUGUUGGUGAACUUUCAAGUUGGUCCCUGAAAUUAAUUACACUUGUUUAAAAUUGACUAGAAAAGAGAGAUGGCAAUGGGGGCGACAAUAGGAGAAGCAGGGAUAAAAAAUCUACAUUCCCCAUACCGUUAUUUAUUUAUAUAUUUUUUAAAUUACUAUUUAAAUAAAAAUAGAUAAAAGGCUUAUAACAAAGGAAAAAUAAAGUUAAAAACAGGAAUCGAGGCAGGUUCAGGGCAGAGACCAUGUUUCUAGCCCCAAUUCAUCAGCCAGGCGGGCAGGAGCGGAGUACUUUGCCAUCACUCAAAAGUUCACAGAGAGCACAGUUUAUAGAAGAUAAAAUUAGUUGUGGAACAACUGCCAUCACUCAAAAGAUCGUGGAGAGCACAGUUUAUAGAAGAUAAAAUUACUUGUGGAGCAACUUGAAACAAACUGAUAUUCAGUGAUCAACAUGAAAUUUUACUAAAAAUUAAUCGACCACAAGUGAAUGUAGUUGAUACAACAUUCUACAAUAGUAUCGAAGCUCUUCAAGAUUUUUCCUCCAGCAGCUACUCAAACUGACUAAAAAAGAUCCAAUCUGAACAUCCAAUUUAUAAUAAUGUGCAAAAUUGUUUACCAGCAAGCAUACAUAAAAUUUUUGAUAGUACAUAAUGAUAACUGAUAUGUUAAGAGUACAAGAUCAAUGUAAUUUAACCAGAUGCCUAUAACUAUAGGCCAGUAAUGAUAGCCAAAACAGAGCUUAAAAUUAUAUACUUCUCCUUGGUAGGAGACAACAAUCACAAACUAAAACUCUUACUAAUCAACAUAACUAGCUACUGCAAUCACAUUCCUCCAAAUUGCAUAGAAUUUUCCAGUACAAUUCCUAACUUAAGAAAGUUGGAGGACUUUUUGAAAGUCUCUCAUAAAACCUCCUAACUGGGUUUUUUGUUGGGAUUGAUGGUUAUGGCCAAUGAGAUUAUCUAUGGAUCUGCAAUGACAUACACAGAAAGCGAGAAGUUUAGUAUUUGUUUAGUGUGUUUGGGUAAUGACUGACGCUACUGCAUAAAUAGUAUAUUCUAGAAUUAGAAAUAGAGGUUCUUUGAUUGUUUGCAUUGCAUUAAAUUGAGGGGUUUUAACAUUUUAGUUUUUACGAUAAGAAGAAAUAUAGAAUGCUGAGACUCUAGGCAAAAGAGGGGUGUAAAAUAAAAAAUCUCAUAGAGCGUUACCAGCACAAGAGGGGGUUUAAAAUAAAAAAUCUCAAAGUUAUGAUAAUAACUAAAAACACCUAAACAAUUAGAUAUUGACCACUUGAUGCUGUGCAUUUACCUAUAUCCAAUACGCUUCAUUCAUUGUUGAUUUAUAUGUAGCACCUGUUGGGGUUCACUUAACUACUGUAAAGUUUAACUUACAUGUUAAAUACUGUAUUUACUACCCCAUGGUAGCAUAAAAAAGGUUGUGAAAAUAGAAU